GCGUGAUCUGACGGCCCAGAUUCAUCACGAAACUUUCUCACUCCAAAUUCUCUCCUCUGGUCAAUCUCUCUCCUCCAUUGAAGCAAGUGCACUGAAUAAUUCUCCAUUGAUACGGCUUCCAAACUUUCUCUACUCCAUCGACGCGGAAUCCGAGCUUUCUCUACUCCAUUGAAGCAACUUCUGAGCUGCUAUUUUUAAUGGCGUUGAUGUGAGGUUGGGUGUGUGCAUCAAAGAUGAUGGUGGGAGGCUGCUAGCUGUCGCAGUUUGAAGGGUGCUAGAUGAUGGUACGGUGAAGCUGGCAGAGGCUCUUGCAGUUAGAUGGGGUGCUACUUUCGCUCAACAACUUGGCUUCAGAAAGGUGGAACUCGAAUGUGAUGCUAUUGAAGUUGUUCAGGCUGUUUGCUGGAAAAGGCAAGGAAAUCCAAGAAGAGGAGUGAGAAACAACGAGAAAUAGGUCGAUCAUACACAAGAAAAGGAAGGGCAGCUGCUGUUCAUAAUCAGUUUGAAAGGCGAAGAAGAUAUUGUAUCAACCAAAAGAUGAAAGCUCUGCGGAAGCAGUUCUAAAUGUAAGCAAGAUUUCGGCAUCGGAGGGCUUGCUCAGCAUAACCCUCGAAACCAGUUUACAUGUGUUUGCUGUGCAGGAAAUCCUCAGCCAAUUCAUGACUUGGACUGAGUCCAGUCUUCAGCCCAUCAAAAUGACUAUGCCGAAGGUCCAUCGAAAUAAGACCUUUAAAUUUUUUAUAAAAAUAAUAGGUGCAGGUUGCAUAAUUAACCAAUUUUUUUUUAUUAUGAAUGAUUAUUGGUUAUAUCUUUAAGUAACUAAUAAAAAGUGAUUUUAAUAGGACAAGUAAUACAAAAUUUAUGUAAAUGUUGAUUUUGAAUUGAGGUUAAUGUUCAUUCAGCUUUUUAUAGAGUUUAAAUUUGAUCAAUUCUUUAUUUGGAUUUGUAUAUAUCUAAUUAGUUUUAGUUUUGGGUUAAUCGUAAAUACGGAAAUAAUUUGAUCUUUUUUCAAAGAAUCAAUUCUUAGAUAGUACAUUUAAUUUGGUUUGAAAGUAAGAUUAAGGAGAUUGAGAAGAAGACGAGGAAGAUUAAAUGUAUUGUUUACUUUGAAACAAAAGUAACAUAAUAGCAAAAGAGGGGAAAAGCUGCAAAGGAAGAUAAAACAACAAAAUCAACGGCAAAUUAUGUAAACAGAUAUUCUCAGGGAUAUAAUAGGAAGAAUAAUGUUUUAAAUUCAUACAAUCACACGUAUUUCAUAUUAAUAAAAAUGAUACAAGCCGAUUUAAUUUGAUGGUAGAAAUUAUAAUGUUCAAGUUGACAUUUUUGGCUAGGUAAUUAUAAAUAUUAAGAAAAGCUACAUUCUUAUUUUUUUUUCUUUUUUUAAAUUAAACCAAUUAGUUAAAUUUUUUCUGGGCGAAAUUAUUACAUGACUUUAGUGUAAGUAGUUUUUCGUAUUAAAGAACGAAGUUGAUUUUUAUUUUAAAAAUAAUCUUAUGUAGUCCUUAUUUGUAACAAGAAUUGCAUAUUUAGAUUUUCCAAACCCCAGUCAGCCCCUAUUUUGGUCUUCCGUGCUAAUUUGGUCCAUGUGUCAGUCAUUUUGGUUACCGUUCACAUGUCUAGCCACACGAUCAUACCACGAGUCUUAUAACAUCACUU